UCUGGUUGAUCCUGCCAGUAGUGAUAUGCUUGUUUCAAAGAUUAAGCCAUGCAUGUCUAAGUAUAAGCGAACUUAUACAGUGAAACUGCGGAUGGCUCAUUAAAACAGUUUGAAUUUAUUUGAUGAAUGUAUGAGAAUACUACUUGGAUAACCGUAGUAAUUCUAGAGCUAAUACAUGCAACGACGCCCGACCGUUUCACUACGGAAGGGCUGUAUUUAUUGGAUACCAAAACCAUCCUUCCCUCGGGAAGUUUUGUUUGAUGAUUCACAAUAACUGAUCGGAUCGCCACUGUGGUGGCGACAGGUCAUUCAACAUUCUGCCCUAUCAGCUUUCGAUGGUUGUGUAGUGGACAACCAUGGCCAUAACGGGUAACGGAGAAUCAGGGUUCGAUUCCGGAGAAGGAGCUUGAGAAUUGGCUACUACAUCUAAGGAAGGCAGCAGGCGCGCAAAUUACCCAAUCCCGAUUCGGGGAGGUAGUGACAAAAAAUAACAAUACCGGGCCUUUUUGGGCUUGGUAAUUGGAAUGAGGGAGAGUUAAACGGACCAUCGAGUAUCCAUUGGAGGGCAAGUCUGGUGCCAGCAGCUGCGGUAAUACCAGCUCCAAUAGCGUAUAUUAAAGUUGUUGCAGUUAAAAAGCUCGUAGUUGGACUUGUGUGCGCUGUCCGCGGGUGGCCUGCGCCCAAAAGGGCGUUUCGGUUCGGCCCCGGUGGCGCCUUGAAAUCUGCAGCUGGGGGGACGUUGGCCUUAACUGGUCGGCGACCGCACGCCGGCUGCUCGGUUACUGUGAGAAAAUUAGAGUGUUCAAGGCAGGCAUUGGGUGCAAUUGAAUACAUUAGCAUGGAAUAAUAAAAUAUGGCUCCUGCCGUAUUUUGUUGGUUUUGACUGGUGGGAGUAAUGAUUGAUAGGGACGGUUGGGGGUGCUAGUAUUGAGCGGCCAGAGGUGAAAUUCAUGGAUUCGCUCAAGACUAACUUAUGCGAAAGCAUUCACCAAGGACGUCCUCUUUAAUCAAGAACGAAAGUUGGGGGAUCGAAGACGAUCAGAUACCGUCGUAGUCUCAACCAUAAACUAUGUCGACUUGGGAUCGGCGGUAGUUUUUUCAUUAAGACACUGUCGGGACCACGGGAGAAAUCAAAGUGUCUGGACUCUGGGGGAAGUAUGGUCGCAAGGCUGAAACUUGAAGGAAUUGACGGAAGGGCACCACCAGGAGUGGAGCCU
rnacentral:rRNA from 1 species